CCCCCCCCCAUUUUUUUCCAUUUCCCUUCUCCUUGCCUUAACUGCCGACCACCACUGCUUCCCUUCUUCUCUUCUUCUCCGUCUGCAAUUCCCGACCUCACGCCGCCGCCUAGCCGUCUGCCUUCCCGACCUCACGUCGCCGCCUAUCCGUCUGCCUCUCCGAUCUCACGAUUUUUGCCUAGUUCGUCUACCGGCUGGGGAGUAUCUGCUGCGUCUCCGUCCGCCAACCACCAGCGCCGCCAGCUCUUCGUCCGCUAACCGUGAAGCAACGGUUGUUGGGUGCCUGUCGUGAACCAAACCGAGGACCUCAGAUCCAACUUUUCGCUCGCGCUUCUCAACAUUCGACCAAGUCGUCUACACCGGUCUGCUCCCUGAAGGUAGCCACUCGUGAACUACGCGUUGAGUUUCUUCCUCAUACUGCCGCAGGUAGUAAACCCACGCCAUUCGAUUGGGCUGUCUGCCUUGCCACGAGUCAUCAAAUUUUGGUUGGAUUGUUUCGUGGACGUUAGUUGAUUAAGGAGCUUCCCUAACUUUGAGGCAAAGGUAACAAGGGUGGCAGACCGACGAGGGGCAGGAAGGAAGAAUGUUUCUAUUUUACUUUCGCUUAUUGUUUGUUUUUUUUUUUUCGUGUUUUGUUUUUAGUACUUGAAACUGUUUAGAAACAUUUUAUAGUUUAACUGCAUACAUGAAAUGAUGGUUUGUAAAUCCUUCUUGAAAGUUUUGGAUAUUUUAAACCGGGCCCAGAUAUAAAUUUUACUUUUUGAAA